AAGGCCUGAUGUGUGUGAGAUUACCCGCUGAAUUUAAGCAUAUAAGUAAGCGGAGGAAAAGAAACUAACUAGGAUUCCCUUAGUAAUGGCGAAUGAACAGGGAUCAGCUCAGUGCCAAAUCGGAAUCACUUGUGGUUCUGAAAUGUGGCUUGAAGGCAGUACCAGUGGCAUCGCGGACGAAAGUCUCUUGGAAAAGAGCGUCAUAGAGGGUGAGAAUCCCGUGAGUCGUUCGCCGUUUGUCACGUACGGUCUGCGUUCUAACGAGUCGCGUUCCUUGGGAUUGGAGCGUAAACGGGUGGUAAAUUUCAUCCAAAGCAAAAUAUAUACUCGAGACCGAUAGCACAAAAGUACCGUGAGGGAAAGGUGAAAAGAACUUUGAGAAGAGGGUUAAAUAGUGCCUGAAAUCGUUGAGAAGGAAGCGGAUGCCGCCGUUGCAUAUGCUGAUUGUAGGAUUGCUGCUCGCUCCUGUCUUCUGCUACUCAUUCACAGACCUGGUCGUGUUGAGCAGUUGUUUGGCAGAUGUUAGUGGUGUUUCCUACUUUCAGUCGUCAGCAUCACUGGCUGAGUGGAAAUAAUCCUUGGAUGCUAAUUGGUUCGCUAUCUGUGAAUUGGUUGCUUCCUUGCGAUACUCACUACUCGGUCAGUGAGGAAGUGCGUUUGCUGGUCAACGAGCUUUCUAACUGUCAUUACCCUGCGCUUUUCGAUUCGUCGAGUGGCCAGGAUGUGGCUUUGAGAUUGUUCGCACUUAGUAAUCGCGAUGCUGGCUUCCAACGGUUGCCUCCGGCCCGUCUUGAAACACGGACCAAGGAGUCUAACGUAUGUGCGAGUGUGUGAGUGGCAAACUUAUACGCGUAAUGAAAGUGAGGCCGUAUGGCCAUGUUGGGGUCACCAACAACCGACCUUGAUCUUCGGUGAAAGGUUUGAGUAUGAGCAUAUCCGUUACGACCCGAAAGAUGGUGACUAUGCCUGAGCAGGUGAGCCAGGGGAAACUCUGGU
rnacentral:ncRNA from 1 species